UGGGCUGUCGCCAAGCGGUAAGGCACGGGGUUUUGAUCUCCGCACACCCAGGUUCGAAUCCUGGCAGCCCAGCCA
rnacentral:tRNA from 1 species